CGGGGCGAGAACGCGUGAGCGUGGUCCGUGCCCUCGUGUGACGGCCUGGUUUGCCCUGGGAGCCGCAGUGGAGCGAGGGGGAUUGGGCCCGGCGGGUCUGUGAGUGACCCCGGCCCCCGGCCCCAGGGUCCGCCGGGCGUCUGGGGCCUGGCAAAGAGUUUGGCGCCGGGGCUUGAGCCUCCCGGCUCGGGCCCCUUCUGGCGUGGGAGCCGGGGGGUGUUGCAGUGCCAAGGAGACCCCUGGGCUCCUCUGGUGCUAAGUGACGCUGAGCGUGUCUUGCUCUGGCUUGUAGGGAAAAGCGAGAGCUGCCUGGACUCUGCCGAGUGGGAGCGCCUUCUGCUUAAGUUCCUGAGAUCGUCGCUGGAGACGAUCGAGAGCCAGGCCUGGACCAUGGGCCUGAGCUUCGAGCUGAGCCAGCAGAAGGGCAGCUACCCCCGGCUGUCCCGGGAGCAGGUGGGUCCCUGCCGAGGCCUCGUUUCUGCUCCCGUUCCCCACGGGCGCUGGCACGAGAGCCCGGGACGCUCCCCGGGCUGCGCCUGCAGAUAUUGCCCUCUGCGGGCGGGCCGGGCUCCCUGGCUCCCGUCCCUUCGCCACGCAGGCUUUUGUCUCGGCGCCAGCGGGCAGCGGGGCUGGGCUGGACGGCCGGGCGCCCGCGCCGGCUCCC
rnacentral:lncRNA from 1 species